rnacentral:misc_RNA from 1 species
UUGAUUCAUUUGUUUUUUUUUCUCAGACUGCAUCGUAAUCAAGAGUUUUGGGGCUCCCGGCAGGCGGCUCUCCCAUCAGAGGCCCGACUCAGCCCCCGUUACGGGGCUCGCGGAUCUCUCACGGGGCACCACUUCCCACCGAGGCAACCGGACGGUAAUCAAGGGUGGAGACGUGCAAAAGCACAACUCGGUAAUGAUCCUUCCGCAGGUUCACCUACGGAAA